GGGUCCGUGUUGUGACCAGC
rnacentral:snRNA from 1 species